rnacentral:rRNA from 1 species
GACGAACGCUGGCGGCGGGCUUAACACAUGCAAGUCGAACGGCAAGGCCCUGAGUUUGUGGGGUGCUCGAUGGGCGAACGGGUGAGUAACACGAGAGUAACCGGACCUGGACUUUGGGAUAACUUCAGGAAAGUGGGGCUAAUACCGGAUAGGAGCUCCUGCUGCAUGGUGGGGGUUGGAAAGUUUCGGCGGUUGGGGCUGGAUGGGCGGCUUAUGAGCUUGUUGGUGGGGUAGGGGCUUACCAAGGCUUUGACGGGUAGCCGGCCUGAGAGGGUGACCGGCCACAAUGGGACUAAGAUACGGCCCAGACUCGUACGGGAGGCAGCAGUGGGGAAUAUUGCACAGUGGGCGGAAGUCUGAUGCAGAAACGCCGCGUGCGGAAUGACGGCCUUCGGGUUGUAAACAGCUGUCGCCUGAGACGAAGCGUGAGUGACGGUAAUGGAUAAAGAAGCACCGGCUAACUACGUG